rnacentral:tRNA from 2 species
GCGCGGUUAGCUCAGAGGAAGAGCACCUCCUUGACGCGGAGGGGGUCAUAGGUUCAAGUCCUAUACCGCGCACCA